rnacentral:rRNA from 1 species
UACAGAGGUCUCAAGCGUUGUUCGGAUUCAUUGGGCGUAAAGGGUGCGUAGGCGGCGCGGUAAGUCGGGUGUGAAAUCUCGGAGCUUAACUCCGAAACUGCAUUCGAUACUGCCGUGCUUGAGGACUGGAGAGGAGACUGGAAUUUACGGUGUAGCGGUGAAAUGCGUAGAUAUCGUAAGGAAGACCAGUGGCGAAGGCGGGUCUCUGGGCCGAUACUGGACGCUGAGGAGCGAAAGCGUGGGAGCGAACAGG